UGGGGAAUAUUGCACAAUGGGCGAAAGCCUGAUGCAGCGACGCCGCGUGAGGGAUGACGGCCUUCGGGUUGUAAACCUCUUUCAGUAGGGACGAAGCGCAAGUGACGGUACCUGCAGAAGAAGCACCGGCUAACUACGUGCCAGCAGCCGCGGUAAUACGUAGGGUGCGAGCGUUGUCCGGAAUUACUGGGCGUAAAGAGCUCGUAGGCGGUUUGUCACGUCGUCUGUGAAAUCCUAGGGCUUAACCCUGGACGUGCAGGCGUUACGGGCUGACUUGAGUACUACAGGGGGGACUGGAAUUUCUGGUGUUGCGGUGGAAUGCACAGAUAUCAGGAAGAACACCGAUGGCGAAGGCAGGUCUCUGGGUAGUAACUGACGCUGAGGAGCGAAAGCAUGGGUAGCGAACAGG
rnacentral:rRNA from 1 species